rnacentral:rRNA from 1 species
UACGUAGGUGACAAGCGUUGUCCGGAAUUACUGGGCGUAAAGGGCGUGUAGGCGGCUAUUUAAGUCAGAUGUGAAAGCCCUGGGCUUAACCCAGGGACUGCAUUUGAAACUGGAUGGCUUGAGGAUCGGAGAGGGCAGUGGAAUUCCCAGUGUAGCGGUGAAAUGCGUAGAUAUUGGGAGGAACACCAGUGGCGAAGUCGACUGCCUGGACGACACCUGACGCUGAGGCGCGAAAGCUAGGGGAGCAAACGGG